rnacentral:rRNA from 1 species
GACAGAGGGUGCAAACGUUGCUCGGAAUUACUGGGCGUAAAGCGCGUGUAGGCGGCCCACUAAGUCUGAUGUGAAAGCCCGGGGCUCACCCCCGGAAGUGCAUUGGAAACUGGUGGACUCGAGUCCCGGAGAGGAGAGUGGAAUUCCUGGUGUAGCAGUGAAAUGCGUAGAUAUCAAGUGGAACACCAGUGGCGAAGGCGAGUCCCUGGACAACUCCUGACACUGAGGCACGAAAGCUAGGGGAGCAAACAGG